rnacentral:rRNA from 1 species
GUUGCAGUUAAAAAGCUCGUAGUUGGAUUUCGGAGUGGGCCAGUUGGUCCGCCGCAAGGUGUGUUACUGACUGGUUUGCUCUUCUUCGCAAAGACUGCGUGUGCUCUUUAUUGAGUGUGCGUAGGAUUUACGACGUUUACUUUGAAAAAAUUAGAGUGUUCAAAGCAGGCUAUUGCUUGAAUACAUGAGCAUGGAAUAAUGGAAUAGGAUUUUGGUCCCAUUUUGUUGGUUUCUAGGACCGAAGUAAUGACUAAGAGGGACAAUUGGGGGCAUCCGUAUUUCGUUGUCAGAGGUGAAAUUCUUGGAUUUACGAAAGACGAACAACUGCGAAAGCACUUGCCAAGAGUGUUUUCAUUAAUCAAGAACGAAAGUUAGAGGAUCGAAGACGAUCAGAUACCAUCCUAGUUCUAACCAUAAACGAUGUCGACUAGGGAUCAGCGGGCGUUAUCGUACGACCCCGUUGGCACCUUACGGGAAACCAAAGUUUCUGGAUUCCGGGGGAAGUAUAGUCGCAAGUCCGAAA